UGGUAGGUUAGGCAAGCUAGCUCCAGGAAUAAAAUCAAUUUGAUGUUGUAUGUCUCGUAUGGGUGGAAGAUGAGUAGACAUAUCUUGGACAACAGAAAAAUCAGAUAAUAAAUUCUCAACACUCUUUGGUAUUACAGAUGCUGCAGAUGUAGAAUUGGGCUUUUGAAUCACCAUAAAUAACUGAGCAUUUUUAUCAAAGUCAGUGAAUAACUCAUUAUGGUUGAUCAACAUUACUUUUCUUUUCUCUUUUUCUCCCUUUUUGAAAUCAUUAUCUUGCAUUGGAGCUAAGAUAAACUUUUUU
rnacentral:lncRNA from 1 species